GGGGCAAUGGCGCGNUGCUAUACAUGCAGUAGAACGCUGAAGAGAGGAGCUUGCUCUUCUUGGAUGAGUUGCGAACGGGUGAGUAACGCGUAGGUAACCUGCCUUGUAGCGGGGGAUAACUAUUGGAAACGAUAGCUAAUACCGCAUAACAAUGGAUGACACAUGUCAUUUAUUUGAAAGGGGCAAUUGCUCCACUACAAGAUGGACCUGCGUUGUAUUAGCUAGUAGGUGAGGUAAUGGCUCACCUAGGCGACGAUACAUAGCCGACCUGAGAGGGUGAUCGGCCACACUGGGACUGAGACACGGCCCAGACUCCUACGGGAGGCAGCAGUAGGGAAUCUUCGGCAAUGGGGGCAACCCUGACCGAGCAACGCCGCGUGAGUGAAGAAGGUUUUCGGAUCGUAAAGCUCUGUUGUAAGUCAAGAACGGGUGUGAGAGUGGAAAGUUCACACUGUGACGGUAGCUUACCAGAAAGGGACGGCUAACUACGUGCCAGCAGCCGCGGUAAUACGUAGGUCCCGAGCGUUGUCCGGAUUUAUUGGGCGUAAAGCGAGCGCAGGCGGUUUGAUAAGUCUGAAGUUAAAGGCUGUGGCUCAACCAUAGUUCGCUUUGGAAACUGUCAAACUUGAGUGCAGAAGGGGAGAGUGGAAUUCCAUGUGUAGCGGUGAAAUGCGUAGAUAUAUGGAGGAACACCGGUGGCGAAAGCGGCUCUCUGGUCUGUAACUGACGCUGAGGCUCGAAAGCGUGGGGAGCGAACAGGAUUAGAUACCCUGGUAGUCCACGCCGUAAACGAUGAGUGCUAGGUGUUGGAUCCUUUCCGGGAUUCAGUGCCGCAGCUAACGCAUUAAGCACUCCGCCUGGGGAGUACGACCGCAAGGUUGAAACUCAAAGGAAUUGACGGGGGCCCGCACAAGCGGUGGAGCAUGUGGUUUAAUUCGAAGCAACGCGAAGAACCUUACCAGGUCUUGACAUCCCGAUGCUAUUUCUAGAGAUAGAAAGUUACUUCGGUACAUCGGUGACAGGUGGUGCAUGGUUGUCGUCAGCUCGUGUCGUGAGAUGUUGGGUUAAGUCCCGCAACGAGCGCAACCCCUAUUGUUAGUUGCCAUCAUUCAGUUGGGCACUCUAGCGAGACUGCCGGUAAUAAACCGGAGGAAGGUGGGGAUGACGUCAAAUCAUCAUGCCCCUUAUGACCUGGGCUACACACGUGCUACAAUGGUUGGUACAACGAGUUGCGAGUCGGUGACGGCGAGCUAAUCUCUUAAAGCCAAUCUCAGUUCGGAUUGUAGGCUGCAACUCGCCUACAUGAAGUCGGAAUCGCUAGUAAUCGCGGAUCAGCACGCCGCGGUGAAUACGUUCCCGGGCCUUGUACACACCGCCCGUCACACCACGAGAGUUUGUAACACCCGAAGUCGGUGAGGUAACCUUUGGAGCCAGCCGCCUAAGUGG
rnacentral:rRNA from 1 species